rnacentral:lncRNA from 1 species
AGAUUCCUCCUCCAUGUUGCACAGCCCUUAAACUCGUACCACACCCAGAUGAGUCCUGACCUGAAGCAGACUGACCUGAAAGUCCACUGCCACCAGAUAUAUAAAUUCCUUCUGGGAGUCUGGCUUAUGUCCAGUUCUCCGCUUGACCUGAUUUGAGCAUUCUGGUAAUCUUAGGACUGGGAUAAAUCAGAAGGUACUUGGUUCAAUUGUUCAUGAGUGCAAGAAUAUUCCUCAGAACAUUUUUUAUUAUUUCUGUUACUAUAAGUUCGUUUUGCCGUUGGAAAGAUUUGGGGUUUUUUUUCUUUUCAGAUUUCUGAAAAGCUUUGUGUGCAUCUUUGUUCUCUCAGCAGCAGAUCAUGUUGAAAAGACACCUUUGAUGCUGCCUCUCUAGGCCGAGGGCAUUCCGAGUAAAUACAGAAAUCUAUUUUUAAUACAGCAUUUGUUGACAACUGUGCAUGUCCGUCAGAAAUAAAUGAAUCUGGGAGGAAAUCUGUGAAGGCAGGAAGCUAAGAGUAGGAGGGAAAACAUACAGGCAGAAAUUAUGAUUAUGAGGACAUUGGCUUCCUUCUUGAUGGGUGUGACCGGAAUAUUUCUUUAGUGGAUACCAGAAUAAUGGCCGUUUCUCAGAAAUCAUCAUGUUCUGGAGUCUAAGGAUGAGGGGCAGAUAAAUAUAAUGAAAACUUCGGCCAAAAAAGCACCCUAAAAAUUUGCAAAUAAAAAUUAAUGAGAAAAAUGCCACAUUCUGAAAACCAGAAGCUGGAUUCUCUGAAAUAGCUGGAAGAGAAGAGGCUCUUUAUGGAACACUAAGUCGACCUGCCUCCUGCAGGAGAUCAUUAGCCACGUCCCUAGGGCCGAGGGCAUGCCUCUCCAGCCUCGUCUGCUUCUUCCUGCACCUCAGCCAGAACUGUGGUUGUGUAGCCCCUUGGCCAGCUGGCCUUCUCUGCCCAACUCAGUUGUCCUGCUCCGCCCCACACCCCUGCUCUGCCCUUCCCAGCCUUUCUUGGCAUUCAAGAGUGAACUCUAGCGCCACUUCAAAGAUUGUGCCAGCCCAGAAUAAUCUCUGCCAUCUAGAAAUUCCUCUGGCCCAGGAUUUGGGUGGGGGAUCAUUAGGAGUCACCUUAGGGUCUGUUCACCGCAGAUGAAUCUUAUGGGCAUAAUGAUUGGCAACUGAAACCAGACACAAAGACCACAGACAGUCUCA